CCUCCAGCCCCUCACCAAGUCCUCCUGAACUCACACUGGUCCCCAAGAACCUCUUGCAGCCCUGCAUACCUGCCCCUGUGCCACAGUGCCUGACUAAUGUCUCCAGCUGCCUGGAAGACAGUGUAGAGUUGCCGUCGCUCUGGGGCAGUCUUCUGGACCCAUUGACACCCCCUCUGAUGCCUCCUCCAGACCCUCCUGCCCCACCUACUCCUUUCCACAAAUGCCCCUUUUGCCAGAAGUUCCAGAGAAACCCCCCAAAUUGCCGUGCCUGUCACCAGCCUAACCGUACAGUGUCUAUUGAUCCUAUCCACCCCUUUUACCAUACCCAUGGCCUGGCCCCACCCUGGGUCUGGAGCCCAGUGGCCCCUCCAUUCCUCCAGCCCCAGCAGUGUUCUCUUUUUAGUGUCAUGAAGCUGGCUCGCCUCACGUCUGUUAUUUUCCCAGGCUAGGUAGGGCUCAGAGGAGUGCAUUAGAGGGUUUGGGAGUCCUUGAGAACCUGGAAGAGGAAAACUUGAUUUAGAUUUUUGCUACCUCUCUGGGCCCUUGGCUAGUCCCCUGUCCUGCUGGGUAGGAGCAUAAGGGAUUAUGGGGGCAGCACAAGGUCACUCACUCUCCUAGACCUCAGAGGCUGGCUAAUAGGCUAGGACACCAGUGGUGCCUGGGACAGUGUCAGCUCAGUGGCCAGAGGCAUGCCACAAAUGACAGAGAAUCACCUAUCUCUUUGCUUUCACAAGCCCAGGGGGGUAGAUUUCUGCUUUGAAGUUUCCAGAGAUGGGAAGGUAAAUGGGAGGUGUGGGAAGUGAGUAAGGAGAGUGGGAAAGCAUCGAUGUGAAUCUCUGAUGUGUGAGUCAGGAAAACCAAGACGAGAGAUGCUGAGGGACAGAAGGCUCCCCAAGGCGGGAAACUUGCCACACCUGUCCCUUGAACGAAUUUGUCAUAGCCAAGAAUUGCUGGGUCCUUUAACCUUGUCCCUUUGUCUUCCAACCAUAGCAUCCUGCUCCAAGGCUUCCCACUCUGCCUUUUUGGGUGUUCUCUUCACAGGCCUCUCUGGGCGCCACUGCUUUGUAUCUGGGUUUUUCAUGCUUUUAUAGAACUGAGGUUUCAAUAAACAGUUUCUGUUGC
rnacentral:lncRNA from 1 species